GAUGAACGCUGGCGGCGUGCCUAAUACAUGCAAGUCGAGCGAACAGACGAGGAGCUUGCUCCUCUGACGUUAGCUGCGGACGGGUGAGUAACACGUGGAUAACCUACCUAUAAGACUGGGAUAACUUCGGGAAACCGGCGCUAAUACCGGAUAAUAUAUUGAACCGCAUGGUUCAAUAGUGAAAGCCGGUUUUGCUGUCACUUAUCGAUGGAUCCGCGCCGCAUUAGCUAGUUGGUAAGGUAACGGCUUACCAAGGCGACGAUGCGUAGCCGACCUGAGAGGGUGAUCGGCCACACUGGAACGGAGAAACGGUCCAGACCCCUACGGGAGGCAGCAGUAGGGAAUCUUCCGCAAUGGGCGAAAGCCUGACGGAGCAACGGCGCGUGAGUGAUGAAGGUCUUCGGAUCGUAAAACUCUGUUAGUAGGGAAGAACAAAUGUGUAAGUAACUAUGCACGUCUUGACGGUACCUAAGCAGAAAGCCACGGCUAACUACGUG
rnacentral:rRNA from 1 species